UCAGGCACGAAAGCGUGGGGAGCAAACAGGAUUAGAUACCCUGGUAGUCCACGCCCUAAACGAUGCUCACUAGGUGUUGGGGAAGCGAUUCCUUGGUACCGUAGCUAACGCGUGAAGUGAGCCGCCUGGGGAGUACGGCCGCAAGGUUAAAACUCAAAGGAAUUGACGGGGACCCGCACAAGCGGUGGAUGAUGUGGAUUAAUUCGAUGCAACGCGAACAACCUUACCUACCCUUGACAUGUCCGAGAGCCUGCUGAAAGGUGGGUGUGCCCGAAAGGGAAUCGGAACACAGGUGCUGCAUGGCUGUCGUCAGCUCGUGUCGUGGGAUGUUGGGUUAAGUCCCGCAACGAGCGCAACCCUUGUCCCUAGUUGCUACGCAAGGGCACUCUAGGGAGACUGCCGGUGACAAACCGGAGGAAGGUGGGGAUGACGUCAAGUCCUCAUGGCCCUUAUGGGUAGGGCUUCACACGUCAUACAAUGGUCGGUACAGAGGGUCGCCAACCCGCGAGGGGGAGCCAAUCCCACAAAGCCGAUCGUAGUCCGGAUUGCAGUCUGCAACUCGACUGCAUGAAGUCGGAAUCGCUAGUAAUCGUGGAUCAGCAUGUCACGGUGAAUACGUUCCCGGGUCUUGUACACACCGCCCGUCACACCAUGGGAGCGGGAUGUACCAGAAGCAGCUAGCCUAACCGCAAGGAGGGCGGUUGCCACGGUGCGUUUCGUGACUGGGGUGAAGUCGUAACAAGGUAACCGUA
rnacentral:rRNA from 1 species